AUUGAACGCUGGCGGCAGGCCUAACCCAUGCAAGUCGAACGAGUGGCGGACGGGUGAGUAAUGUCUGGGAAACUGCCUGAUGGAGGGGGAUAACUACUGGAAACGGUAGCUAAUACCGCAUACCAUCAGAUGUGCCCAGAUGGGAUUAGCUAGUUGGGGGGGUAACGGCGCACCAAGGAGACGAUCCCUAGCAGGUCUGAGAGGAUGACCAGCCACACUGGACCUGAGACCGGGUCCAGCCUCCUACGGGAGGCAGCAGUGGGGAAUAUUGCACAAUGGGCGCAAGUCUGAUGCAGCCAUGCCGCGUGUAUUAAGAAGGCCUUCGGGUUGUAAAGUACUUUCAGCGGGGAGGCGUUACCCGCAGAAGAAGCACCGGCUAACUCCGUGUCAGCAGCCGCGGUAAUUC
rnacentral:rRNA from 1 species